CCCUUAGAUGUUCUGGGCCGCACGCGUGCUACACUGAGCGGGCCAACGGGUGAGGAUGUGCGAAAGCGCUUCCCAAUCUCUAAAUCCGCUCGUGCUGGGGAUCGAGGCUUGCAAUUAUCCCUCUUGAACGAGGAAUACCUUGUAAGCACGGGUCAUCAUCCCGUGCUGAAUACGUCCCUGCCCUUUGUACACACCGCCCGUCGCUCCUACCGAUUGAAUGGUCCGGUGAAGCGUUCGGACCGUGGCCUUUGGACGGUUCGCCGUCUGUUGGCUGCGGGAAGUUCGUUAAACCUUAUCAUUUAGAGGAAGGAGAAGUCGUANCA
rnacentral:rRNA from 1 species